rnacentral:ncRNA from 2 species
AAUAAUGAUUUCAGAGAUUGUGUUUAAGGAAAUGGGUGUAACUCCCACGCUGUGCCGCAACUGUAAGGUACGUUUAGUUUACAUGAACGUACUAAAGCCAGAAAACUAGCAAUCUAUAGCCCUGAACA